GAUGAACGCUAGCGGUAUGCUUAACACAUGCAAGUCGUACGGAAAAGCAAUUUUUAGUGGCGAACGGGUGAGUAACACGUGAGAAUUUGCCUUUAGGAAGAGGAUACUAAUUAGAGAUAAUUGUUAAUACUCUAUAUGCCGUUUGGUGAAAGAAGUAAUUUGCCUAAAGAGAAGCUCGCGCCUGAUUAGCUAGUUGGUAGGGUAAUGGCUUACCAAGGCGACGAUCAGUAGCUGGUUUGAGAGGAUGAUCAGCCACAUUGGAACUGAGACACGGUCCAGACUCCUACGGGAGGCAGCAGUGAGGAAUUUUCUGCAAUGGGCGAAAGCCUGACAGAGCAAUACCGCGUGAGGGAAGAAGGCCUAUGGGUUGUAAACCUCUUUUCUCAAGGAGGAAGAUCUGACGUUACUUGAGGAAUAAGCAUCGGCUAACCCUGUGCCAGCAGCCGCGGCAAUACAGGGGAUGCAAGUGUUAUCCGGAAUUAUUGGGCGUAAAGCGUCUGCAGGUUGAUAUUUAAGUCUUUUGUUAAAUCUUUGGGCUCAACCCAAAAUAUGCAAAAGAAACUGUUUAUCUUGAGUAUGGUAGGGGUAAAGGGAAUUUCCAGUGGAGCGGUGAAAUGCGUAGAUAUUGGAAAGAACACCAAGAGCGAAGGCACUUUACUGGGCCAGUACUGACACUGAGAGACGAAAGCUAGGGGAACAAACGGGAUUAGAUACCCCGGUAGUCCUAGCUGUAAACGAUGGAUACUAGAUGUUGUGUAUUUUUUAAUAGACAGUGUCAUAGCUAACGCGUUAAGUAUCC
rnacentral:rRNA from 1 species